rnacentral:rRNA from 1 species
UGGCUCAGAUUGAACGCUGGCGGCAGGCCUAACACAUGCAAGUCGAACGGUAACAGGAAGAAGCUUGCUUCUUUGCUGACGAGUGGCGGACGGGUGAGUAAUGUCUGGGAAACUGCCUGAUGGAGGGGGAUAACUACUGGAAACGGUAGCUAAUACCGCAUAACGUCGCAAGACCAAAGAGGGGGACCUUCGGGCCUCUUGCCAUCGGAUGUGCCCAGAUGGGAUUAGCUUGUUGGUGGGGUAACGGCUCACCAGGCGACGAUCCCUAGCUGGUCUGAGAGGAUGACCAGCCACACUGGAACUGAGACACGGUCCAGACUCCUACGGGAGGCAGCAGUGGGGAAUAUUGCACAAUGGGCGCAAGCCUGAUGCAGCCAUGCCGCGUGUAUGAAGAAGGCCUUCGGGUUGUAAAGUACUUUCAGCGGGGAGGAAGGGAGUAAAGUUAAUACCUUUGCUCAUUGACGUUACCCGCAGAAGAAGCACCGGCUAACUCCGUGCCAGCAGCCGCGGUAAUACGGAGGGUGCAAGCGUUAAUCGGAAUUACUGGGCGUAAAGCGCACGCAGGCGGUUUGUUAAGUCAGAUGUGAAAUCCCCGGGCUCAACCUGGGAACUGCAUCUGAUACUGGCAAGCUUGAGUCUCGUAGAGGGGGGUAGAAUUCCAGGUGUAGCGGUGAAAU